UUAUUAUUUCCAAAAAACUGUCGCUUUACAUAAAAUUAAAUUUGGUCCGACCGUAGUCGAGGUUUUAACAACUUUUUGUAAAUGGUGUAACAAAUUAAAGUAUUCAUAUCCAUGUUGAGCUAAAUGUACAUCUGCCACUGUGUUACAAAGACAAACAUACAAACAUAUUUAUACAAGGCAAUAUCUACAAUGUUUAAUAAUAUUUCUAACAACAAAAUUGCUAUGACAGCUAAAUCAAUUUAAGAAAAAUUUUGUGUAGGUAAUUUUCAACAAUAAGUUUUUACGUAUUACUUACACACAACAUUGUUCUAUAUCUCUAUGAACCGAUCAAUAUAAGUAAUAUGUUCGUUAUUUUCUAUUUACAUAACGCUGAAUAAUAUUAAUUAAAACAUGUUGAGUUGAAGAACAAAAAAACUAAACUGUAUUAAAAUUUCUUGUCGAUAAACUAUUUGGAUAUGUAAGUAAUUAUUGCAGACACAAAUAACUUCCAUAACACAGUGUACAGUUGGAUAGAAUAGAAAGUACAAUAAUUUUGACAUAAACUAAAUCAUUACACGGUAAAACUCGCCAACCACAUCAACUUUACCUCUAAAAUUGACAGAUAAACAAAUUGUUGAUACUUGAUAAUAACAUUUUGUGCCGUAAAACGAGUGUGAAGUACACCGUACCAUACCGCUUAAAUUACAAUAUCAUAAUUGUUAACUAUUUACAAUAAAUGCAACUUCAAAUACCUAAAACCUGUGCUUCAUAACAAUCUAUAUAAAUAUGUUAUUUUUUCGUCUUAAUUUAAAGCUAAUUUAAUUUUUAAUCGGAAAGAGGAAAACGGGACGGUGGAUGUACAAUACAUUCUAGUUGUAAAAAUAUAGAAGCAGUUUAUUUACUUACAAACAAUUGAAACUGCAUGCAAAUUCUAUGUAGGAUCAAGGAGUUAAGAAGAAUGGGGAAGGUUUAAGAGCAGCGAA